rnacentral:rRNA from 1 species
CCAAUAGCGUAUAUUAAAGUUGUUGCAGUUAAAAAGCUCGUAGUUGAAUUUCGGGGUUAGUAGAUUGGUCAUGCCUCUGGUAUGCACUGGUCUUACUGAUUCCUCCUUCCUGAUGAACCGUAAUGCCAUUAUUUUGGUGUUGCGGGGAAACUGGACUGUUACUUUGAAAAAAUUAGAGUGUUUAAAGCAGGCUAACGCUUGAAUCCAUUAGCAUGGAAUAAUGAAAUAGGACGUUCGAUCUUAUUUUGUUGGUUUCUAGGAUUGACGUAAUGAUUAAUAGGGAUAGUUGGGGGCAUUAGUAUUCAAUUGUCAGAGGUGAAAUUCUUGGAUUUAUUGAAGACUAACUACUGCGAAAGCAUUUGCCAAGGAUGUUUUCAUUAAUCAAGAACGAAAGUUAGGGGAUCGAAGACGAUCAGAUACCGUCGUAGUCUUAACCAUAAACUAUGCCGACUAGGGAUCGGAUGAUGUUAAUUUUUUAAUGACUCAUUCGGCGCCUUACG